rnacentral:rRNA from 1 species
UACGUAGGUGGCAAGCGUUGUCCGGAUUUAUUGGGCGUAAAGGGAGCGCAGGCGGUGACUUAAGUCUGAUGUGAAAGCCCACGGCUCAACCGUGGAAGGUCAUUGGAAACUGGGUCACUUGAAUAUAGAAGAGGAAAGUGGAAUUCCUAGUGUAGCGGUGAAAUGCGUAGAUAUUAGGAGGAACAUCAGUGGCGAAGGCGGCUUACUGGACUGUAACUGACACUGAGGCUCGAAAGCGUGGGGAGCAAACAGGAUUAGAUACCCCCGUAGUCCCU